rnacentral:rRNA from 1 species
CCUAACUAAAGCAUUUACUAGUCCCAGUAUAGGCGAUAGAAAAGACACCAUUGGAGCGAUAGAGACUACGUACCGUAAGGGAAAGAUGAAAUAGUAGUGAAAAAAAUAAGCUAAAAACAGCAAAGAUCAACCCUUGUACCUUUUGCAUCAUGGUCUAGCAAGAAAAACCAAGCAAAAUGAAUUUAAGUUUGCCACCCCGAAACCCAAGCGAGCUACUUACGAGCAGCUAUUGUUGAGCGAACCCGUCUCUGUUGCAAAAGAGUGGGAUGACUUGUUAGUAGAGGUGAAAAGCCAACCGAGCUGGGUGAUAGCUGGUUGCCUGUGAAACGAAUCUUAGUUCACUCUUAAUUCUUCUCCAAGGAAUACCAGAACCCCAAUGAAGCGAAUUAAGGGCUAUUUAAAGGAGGUACAGCUCCUUUAAAAAAGAAUACAAUCUCUACGAGCGGAUAAAUAAUUACACUACAAAAUUACUGUGGGCCCUCAAGCAGCCAUCAACAAAGAGUGCGUUAAAGCUCUGUGCUCUAAAAAUAUAAGAACUAUAUGACUCCCUCCCCACUAACAGGCUAACCUAUAGACAAUAGGAGAAUUAAUGCUAGAAUGAGUAACCAGGGUUCUCCCUCUUCGACGCAAGCUUACAUCAGUACAUUAUUAACAAGCCACCAUAUACGA